UACAGGGGGGGCAAGCGUUGUUCGGAAUUACUGGGCGUAAAGGGCUUGUAGGUGGCCAAUUAAGUCAGACGUGAAAUCCCUCAGCUUAACUGGGGAACUGCGUCUGAUACUGGAUGGCUUGAGUUUGGGAGAGGGAUGCGGAAUUCCAGGUGUAGCGGUGAAAUGCGUAGAUAUCUGGAGGAACACCGGUGGCGAAGGCGGCAUCCUGGACCAACACUGACACUGAUGAGCGAAAGCCAGGGGAGCAAACGGG
rnacentral:rRNA from 1 species